GACGAACGCUGGCGGCGUGCUUAACACAUGCAAGUCGAACGGAAAGGCCUCUUUCGGGGGGUACUCGAGUGGCGAACGGGUGAGUAACACGUGAGUAACCUGCCCUUGACUUUGGGAUAACUUCAGGAAACUGGGGCUAAUACCGGAUAGGAGCUCCUGCUGCAUGGUGGGGGUUGGAAAGUUUCGGCGGUUGGGGAUGGACUCGCGGCUUAUCAGCUUGUUGGUGGGGUAGUGGCUUACCAAGGCUUUGACGGGUAGCCGGCCUGAGAGGGUGACCGGCCACAGUGGGACUGAGAUACGGCCCAGACGCCUACGGGAGGCAGCAGGGGGGAAUAUUGCACAAGGGGUGGAGGCCUGAUGCAGCAACGCCGUGUGCGGGAUGACGGCCUUCGGGUUGUAAACCGCUUUCGCUCAUGACGAAGCUUUGUGUGACGGUAGUGGGUAAAGAAGCACCGGCUAACUACGUG
rnacentral:rRNA from 1 species